rnacentral:rRNA from 1 species
AUUGAACGCUGGCGGCAGGCUUAACACAUGCAAGUCGAACGGGUGGCGGACGGGCGAGAAAUUUUGGGGACUCUGCCUUCUGAAGGGGGAAAACGACGGAAAACUGUCGCUAAUACUGCGAACCUUAGCAUGAGCCCAAGCGGGAUUGGGAAGUUGGUGGGGUAAGGGCCUACCAGGCCGACGAUCGCUAGCUGGUCUGAGAGGAUGACCAGCCACACCGGGACUGUGACACGGCCCGGACUCCUACGGGAGGCAGCAGUGGGGAAUAUUGCGCAAGGGGGGCAACCCUGACGCAGCCAUGCCGCGUGAAUGAAGAAGGCCUUCGGGUUGUAAAGUUCUUUCGGUGACGAGGCGUUAAUCACAGAAGAAGCACCGGCUAACUCCGUGCCAGCAGCCGCGGUAAUAC